CCUACGGGAGGCAGCAGUGGGGAAUCUUGCGCAAUGGGCGAAAGCCUGACGCAGCAACGCCGCGUGCGGGAAGAAGGCUCUCGGGUUGUAAACCGCUUUCAGCAGGAACGAAAAUGACGGUACUUGCAGAAGAAGGUGCGGCCAACUACGUGCCAGCAGCCGCGGUGACACGUAGGCACCAAGCGUUGUCCGGAUUUAUUGGGCGUAAAGAGCUCGUAGGCGGUUCGGUAAGUCAGGUGUGAAAACUUUGGGCUCAACCCAAAGCCUGCAUCUGAUACUGCUGUGACUAGAGUUCGGUAGGGGAGCGGGGAAUUCCUAGUGUAGCGGUGAAAUGCGCAGAUAUUAGGAGGAACACCGGUGGCGAAGGCGCCGCUCUGGGCCGAAACUGACGCUGAGGAGCGAAAGCGUGGGUAGCAAACAGGAUUAGAUACCCUGGUAGUCCACGCCGUAAACGUUGGGCACUAGGUGUGGGUUUCAACCAACGAAAUCCGCGCCGUCGCUAACGCAUUAAGUGCCCCGCCUGGGGAGGUACGGCCGCGAAGUAAACGUACAAGAAGUAGACGGCGUGAGACGNGCCGACGGACGACCGACGAGGGAGUAGG
rnacentral:rRNA from 1 species